rnacentral:rRNA from 1 species
UACGGAGGGGGCAAGCGUUGUUCGGAAUUACUGGGCGUAAAGGGCGCGCAGGCGGCUGCUCAAGUCAGGCGUGAAAGGCCUGGGCUCAACCCGGGAAUUGCGCUUGAGACUGGGCUGGCUUGAGUGCGGGAGAGGAUGGUGGAAUUCCCAGUGUAGAGGUGAAAUUCGUAGAUAUUGGGAAGAACACCGGUGGCGAUGGCGGCCAUCUGGACCGCAACUGACGCUGAGGCGCGAAAGCGUGGGGAGCAAACAGG